rnacentral:rRNA from 1 species
GAUGAACGCUGGCGGCGUGCCUAAUACAUGCAAGUCGAGCGGACGCACGGUAAUCUUUCGUCUCUGCUGUUAGCGGCGGACGGGUGAGUAACACGUGGAUAACCUACCUCUAAGACUGGGAUAACUUCGGGAAACCGUAGACACUACCACCUCAUAUUUUCAACCGCAGGAUUCAAAGGAGCAACAGAGCUUUGCUGUCUCUUAUAGCUGGAUCCGUGCUGGAUUAGUUAGUUGGUAAGGUAACGGCCCACCAAGGCAACGAUGCGUAGCGGAGCUGAGAGGGUGAUCAGCCACACUGGAACUGAGACACGGUCCAGACUCCUACGGGAGGCAGCAGUGGGGAAUAUUGGACAAUGGGCGCAAGCCUGAUCCAGCCAUACCGCGUGGGUGAAGAAGGCCUUCGGGUUGUAAAGCCCUUUUGUUGGGAAAGAAAAGCAGCAGGUUAAUACCCCGCUGUUCUGACGGUACCCAAAGAAUAAGCACCGGCUAACUUCGUG